UCCGUGUUAACCACGGCAGUCUCUUUAGAGUGCCCAACUUAAUGCUGGCAACUAAAGACAAGGGUUGCGCUCGUUGCGGGACUUAACCCAACAUGUCACCACACGAGCUGACGACAGCCAUGCAGCACCUGUCUCUCUGUCAUAUUGCUAUGAAAGCCGUAUUUCUACGGAUGUCAGAGGAUGUCAAACCUAGGUAAGGUUCUGCGCGUUGCUUCGAAUUAAACCACAUGAUCCACCGCUUGUGCGGGCCCCCGUCAAUUCCUUUGAGUUUUAGUCUUGCGACCGUACUUCCCAGGCGGAGUACUUAUUGCGUUAGCUCCGACUCGGCAGGGGUCAAAUCCCGCCUAGUCUAGUACUCAUCGUUUACAGCGUGGACUAC
rnacentral:misc_RNA from 1 species